UGGGGAAUAUUGGGCAAUGGGCGCAAGCCUGACCCAGCAACGCCGCGUGAAGGAAGAAGGCUUUCGGGUUGUAAACUUCUUUUAAGGGGGAAGAGCAGAAGACGGUACCCCUUGAAUAAGCCACGGCUAACUACGUGCCAGCAGCCGCGGUAAUACGUAGGUGGCAAGCGUUGUCCGGAUUUACUGGGUGUAAAGGGCGUGCAGCCGGAGAGGCAAGUCAGAUGUGAAAUCCGCGGGCUCAACCCGCGAACUGCAUUUGAAACUGCUUCCCUUGAGUAUCGGAGAGGUAACCGGAAUUCCUAG
rnacentral:rRNA from 1 species